GACGAACGCUGGCGGCGUGCUUAACACAUGCAAGUCGAACGGAAAGGCCCUGCUUUUGUGGGGUGCUCGAGUGGCGAACGGGUGAGUAACACGUGAGUAACCUGCCCUUGACUUUGGGAUAACUUCAGGAAACUGGGGCUAAUACCGGAUAGGAGCUCCUGCUGCAUGGUGGGGGUUGGAAAGUUUCGGCGGUUGGGGAUGGACUCGCGGCUUAUCAGCUUGUUGGUGGGGUAGUGGCUUACCAAGGCUUUGACGGGUAGCCGGCCUGAGAGGGUGACCGGCCACAUUGGGACUGAGAUACGGCCCAGGCUCCUACGGGGGGCAGCAGUGGGGAAUAUUGCACAAGGGGCGGAGGCCUGAUGCAGCAACGCCGCGUGCGGGAUGACGGCCUUCGGGUUGAAAACCGCUUUCGCCUGUGACGAAGCGUGAGUGACGGUAAUGGGUAAAGAAGCACCGGCUAACUACG
rnacentral:rRNA from 1 species